AGCACCUUUGCUUGUUUUUGUGUAAGAAGUAGGCAAAAGCUAUGAGACAGGUGCAAAAAACAAACCCUCUUUUGCAUUCCUGAGCUCAUUGUUCAGUACCAGUUUUAAUACCUUUGAGAAGGAACUUG
ensembl:snoRNA